AGAGUUUGAUCAUGGCUCAGAUUGAACGCUGGCGGCAGGCCUAACACAUGCAAGUCGAACGGUAACAGGAAACAGCUUGCUGUUUCGCUGACGAGUGGCGGACGGGUGAGUAAUGUCUGGGAAACUGCCUGAUGGAGGGGGAUAACUACUGGAAACGGUAGCUAAUACCGCAUAACGUCGCAAGACCAAAGAGGGGGACCUUCGGGCCUCUUGCCAUCGGAUGUGCCCAGAUGGGAUUAGCUAGUAGGUGGGGUAACGGCUCACCUAGGCGACGAUCCCUAGCUGGUCUGAGAGGAUGACCAGCCACACUGGAACUGAGACACGGUCCAGACUCCUACGGGAGGCAGCAGUGGGGAAUAUUGCACAAUGGGCGCAAGCCUGAUGCAGCGACGCCGCGUGCGGGAUGACGGCCUUCGGGUUGUAAACCGCUUUUGACUGGGAGCAAGCCCUUCGGGGUGAGUGUACCUUUCGAAUAAGCACCGGCUAACUACGUGCCAGCAGCCGCGGUAAUACGUAGGGUGCAAGCGUUAUCCGGAAUUAUUGGGCGUAAAGGGCUCGUAGGCGGUUCGUCGCGUCCGGUGUGAAAGUCCAUCGCUUAACGGUGGAUCCGCGCCGGGUACGGGCGGGCUUGAGUGCGGUAGGGGAGACUGGAAUUCCCGGUGUAACGGUGGAAUGUGUAGAUAUCGGGAAGAACACCAAUGGCGAAGGCAGGUCUCUGGGCCGUCACUGACGCUGAGGAGCGAAAGCGUGGGGAGCGAACAGGAUUAGAUACCCUGGUAGUCCACGCCGUAAACG
rnacentral:rRNA from 1 species